AGUGAACGCUGGCGGUAGGCCUAACACAUGCAAGUCGAACGGCAGCACAGUAAGAGCUUGCUCUUACGGGUGGCGAGUGGCGGACGGGUGAGGAAUACAUCGGAAUCUACUUUUUCGCGGGGGAUAACGUAGGGAAACUUACGCUAAUACCGCAUACGACCUACGGGUGAAAGCAGGGGAUCUUCGGACCUUGCGCGAUUGAAUGAGCCGAUGUCGGAUUAGCUAGUUGGCGGGGUAAAGGCCCACCAAGGCGACGAUCCGUAGCUGGUCUGAGAGGAUGAUCAGCCACACUGGAACUGAGACACGGUCCAGACUCCUACGGGAGGCAGCAGUGGGGAAUAUUGGACAAUGGGCGCAAGCCUGAUCCAGCCAUACCGCGUGGGUGAAGAAGGCCUUCGGGUUGUAAAGCCCUUUUGUCGGGAAAGAAAAGCAGCAGGUUAAUACCCCGCUGUUCUGACGGUACCCAAAGAAUAAGCACCGGCUAACUUCGUG
rnacentral:rRNA from 1 species